rnacentral:rRNA from 1 species
UACGGAGGGUGCAAGCGUUGUUCGGAAUCACUGGGCGUAAAGCGCGUGUAGGCGGCCUCCUAAGUCUGGUGUGAAAGCCCGGGGCUUACCCCCGGAAGUGCACUGGAUACUGGGAGACUAGAGUACCGGAGAGGAGGGUGGAAUUCCUGGUGUAGCGGUGAAAUGCGUAGAUAUCAGGAAGAACACCGGUGGCGAAGGCGGCCCUCUGGACGGAUACUGACGCUGAGACGCGAAAGCGUGGGGAGCAAACAGGAUUAGAUACCCUGGUAGUCCACGCUGUAAACGAUGGGCACUAGGUGCUCGGGGUAUUGACCCCCUGGGUGCCGUAGCUAACGCAUUAAGUGCCCCGCCUGGGGACUACGGCCGCAAGGCUAAA